UGAGUAUUUAUUCACAAUGAACU
rnacentral:snRNA from 1 species